rnacentral:rRNA from 12 species
AAUUUAGGUAAAUCCGGAUUCUUAAAGCUGAGACGCGAGACGAGCUCCCAAGGGAGUGAAGUUGUUGAUGCCCUGCUUCCAGGAAAAGCUUCUAAACUUAUGAUUAUAUGAACCGUACCCCAAACCGACACAGGUGGUCAGGUAGAGAAUACUAAGGCGCUUGAGAGAACUCGGGUGAAGGAACUCGGCAAAAUUGUACCGUAACUUCGGGAGAAGGUACGCCCCUGUUUG